UACGUAGGGUGCGAGCGUUGUCCGGAAUUAUUGGGCGUAAAGAGCUUGUAGGCGGUUUGUCGCGUCUGCUGUGAAAAUCCGGGGCUCAACCCCGGACUUGCAGUGGGUACGGGCAGACUAGAGUGUGGUAGGGGAGACUGGAAGUUCCUGGUGUAGCGGUGAAAUGCGCAGAUAAUCAGGAGGAACACCGAUGGCGAAGGCAGGUCUCUGGGCCGACUACUGCGCUGAGAAGCGAAAGCAUGGGGAGCGAACAGG
rnacentral:rRNA from 1 species